rnacentral:rRNA from 1 species
UACGUAGGGCGCAAGCGUUGUCCGGAUUCACUGGGUGUAAAGGGUGCGCAGGCGGACUGGCAAGUCAGGGGUGAAAUCUCACAGCUCAACUGUGAAACUGCCUUUGAUACUGCUGGUCUUGAGUCAGGGAGAGGUUGAUGGAAUUCCAGGUGUAGCGGUGAAAUGCGUAGAUAUCUGGAAGAACACCGGUGGCGAAGGCGGUCGAACUGGCCCUGAACUGACGCUCAGGCACGAAAGCGUGGGGAGCAAACGAGG